rnacentral:rRNA from 1 species
AACGAACGCUGGCGGCAGGCUUAACACAUGCAAGUCGAGCGAGACCUUCGGGUCUAGCGGCGGACGGGUGAGUAACGCGUGGGAACGUGCCCUUCUCUACGGAAUAGCCCCGGGAAACUGGGAGUAAUACCGUAUCCGCCCUUUGGGGGAAAGAUUUAUCGGAGAAGGAUCGGCCCGCGUUGGAUUAGGUAGUUGGUGGGGUAAUGGCCCACCAAGCCGACGAUCCAUAGCUGGUUUGAGAGGAUGAUCAGCCACACUGGGACUGAGACACGGCCCAGACUCCUACGGGAGGCAGCAGUGGGGAAUCUUAGACAAUGGGGGCAACCCUGAUCUAGCCAUGCCGCGUGAGUGAUGAAGGCCUUAGGGUUGUAAAGCGCUUUCAGCUGUGAAGAUAAUGACGGUACCAGCAGAAGAAGCCCCGGCUAACUCCGUG